rnacentral:rRNA from 1 species
GAUGAACGCUGGCGGCGUGCCUAAUACAUGCAAGUCGAGCGAACGGACGAGAAGCUUGCUUCUCUGAUGUUAGUGGCGGACGGGUGAGUAACACGUGGAUAACCUACCUAUAAGACUGGGAUAACUUCGGGAAACCGGAGCUAAUACCGGAUAAUAUUUUGAACCGCAUGGUUCAAAAGUGAAAGACGGUCUUGCUGUCACUUAUAGAUGGAUCCGCGCUGCAUUAGCUAGUUGGUAAGGUAACGGCUUACCAAGGCAACGAUGCAUAGCCGACCUGAGAGGGUGAUCGGCCACACUGGAACUGAGACACGGUCCAGACUCCUGCGGGAGGCAGCAGUAGGGAAUCUUCCGCAAUGGGCGAAAGCCUGACGGAGCAACGCCGCGUGAGUGAUGAAGGUCUUCGGAUCGUAAAACUCUGUUAUUAGGGAAGAACAUAUGUGUAAGUAACUGUGCACAUCUUGACGGUACCUAAUCAGAAAGCCACGGCUAACUACGUG